UGAGGAAUAUUGGUCAAUGGACGGAAGUCUGAACCAGCCAAGUAGCGUGCAGGAUGACGGCCCUAUGGGUUGUAAACUGCUUUUUUAGGGGAAUAAAGUUAGCCACGUGUGGUUAUUUGCAUGUACCCUACGAAUAAGGACCGGCUAAUUCCGUG
rnacentral:rRNA from 1 species